AAGCAAUUAACUCAAUUGGUAGAGUAUCUCAUUUACACUGAAAAAGUUAAUGGUUCAAAUCCAUUAUUGCUUA
rnacentral:tRNA from 1 species